CGGUCUCCUGCGCCCGCCCCCCUCGAGACCUGGAAUUGUGGCCACGUUCACCGCCCUCUCUCCAGAUUCACCUGGUCACUCCUCAGACCAAGACAGAGUCUGCGAAGCUUUCAGAAUAAACAACAGUUUCAACUAUAACCAUUAUCACUACCCACUGCUCAUCCUGCCUCCGCUGCCAACUUGUUCAUCACGUCAUCAGUUAGGCAUAACCUGUCUCCUGUAGAGGACACACAGCAUGCCCAUGGACCAGCCACCAGAAUUCUGACAACCCCACCAAAGGUUGCAAAGGUGCAAAAAGUACAGCUGGUGUCCCUCUGGCCACUGGGAGGAAAGAAAGAGGGCCAGCUCCUUCACACACAAUCCAGUUGGAGAGAGUAUGGAAGUGGUUAUCUAGGUGGUUCUCAGUCUUUCUCCCCUGAGAUAGAGUGUAGGACUGAAACAGCAGUGAAUCACUGAUGUAGAAGAUACAAGAGCUGCAGUGGUGGUAGGAGCUCUCCAAAGCAGCUGAGAAAGUAUGGUGUGUGUGUGUGUGUGUGUGUGUGUGUGUAACCCUGAACCAAAUGUCUUUGGCCCAUGGACAGAGAUUGCCAACCCUUGAUCUAAUAUGUUGUUGUACUUUUGUCUUUUAAGGUUUUCAAGCACCAGUGUAGAAAACUGGGUGGCUCAGUUAGUUGGGUGUCCGACUUCGGCUCAGGUCAUGAUCUCACAGUUCUUGAGUUCGAGCACCACGUUGGGCUCUGUGCUGACAGCUCAGAGCCUGGAACCUGCUUCUAAUUCUGUGUGUUUCUCUCUCUCUGCCCCUCCCCUGAUUUCACUUUCUCUCUCUCAAAAAUAAAUUCUAAAUUUUUUAAAAAAUUAAAAAAAAAAAAGAUUUUUCAAACACCUUGUUCCUUCAAGAAGAAAUAAGAGCUAAUGAGAAGCAGAUGGUACCCUGGGUUCCAUUUCUCACUUCACUAGGGCCUGCCACAGUUUGGAACAGUUUUGAUUGCUGCCCUAUGCCCUCUUGUUUAGAGGUGCUGUCUGCACCCUGGGAUGCAGGGGUUAGGUUUCUUAUUUUUCCUGAAAAAUGGUGCUAGUGUCAUUGGCUGUUAAAAAUGAGACAGGUGUGCUCGCUUUGGCAGCACAUCUCCUGAAAACAUUGGAGCGACACAGACAAGAUUAGUGUGGCCCCUGUUCAAGGGUGACAGGCAAACCUGUGAAACCUUCCAUACAAAAAUAAGAACUUUUAAAAUGGGACAUAGGCAAGAGAACUUUUGCAUUUGGAUGAGAUGUUUUCUGUGAUUGGCUUAUCCUGCUUAGUUCUUUCUUCCUUACUUUAUGGACACGCAAGAAAGAACACAUGCUCAUAGUAUUGGAGGCAGGUGCUGAACUUCCUAGGUGGCAGCCCUCCUGAAAUGUAUUCUUGCAUGCACAAAUGCAAAGACCCUUGUUGACCUGCUCUCUCAAUGCUUUGGAAACUCUGAGGAAUGGUGAUGUGGUCACUGUUAGAACAGAGCAACAAACAAAUCUGGUGUAAUUGAGGAUAAGCUUCAUGUGGGCAGUCCUGAUGUUUGCUCAUGGAAAGGUGAUUCAUUUAGACGAAUCAGGGCUUUAAAAUUGUUUUCUUGAAGUGUAACAGAUACAGAAAAGUGCAUGCACUGUAAAUGUAUGGCUUGGUGAAUUUGUGCAAAGUGAACACACCUAUGUUACCCUGGUAACCACUAUGUAGAUCAAAAAGUAGAAUGUUAGAGUCACCCCAGAAGACCUCUGUACCCACUCCUCCCCCAGUUACUAGUCCUUUGAGGUAUAACCAGUAACCUAACUUUCCACACUUUAUAUUUUUUGCCUGUUUUUGAACUUUAUGUAUACUUGUGAAAUUUAUUCACAUUUUGUGUAGAUCUUCUUCACUUAUUCUCAUUGCUAUAUUGUAUUCCAUGAUAGACAUAUGCCACAGAUGGGGUGCCUGGGUGGCUCAGUUGCUUAAGCCUCUGACUCUGGAAUUCAGCUCAGGUCAGGGGCUUGUGGGAUCAAGCCCCGCUUUGGGCUCUUUGCUUACAGUGCAGAACCUGCUUGGGAUUCUCUCUCCCUCUCUCUCUGCCCCUCCCUGGCUUGCAUGUGCUCAUGUGCCCUCUCUCUCAAAAUAAGUAAGCAUUAAAAAAAGAAAUAUGCCACAAUUUAUUUAUCCAUUCUAUGUUGAUGGGGUUUUAUUGCACACAUUCCUACAAGUGGAAUUAUCAGCUCACAGUGUUUGCAUAUAUGCAUCUUUAAUGGACCCUGGAAUAGCAGUAAAUGAGAGUUAGGGGUGUAUUUUUUAUUUUUUUAAUUUAGAGAGAGAGAGAGAAUAGGGGAGAGCGAGAGCAAGAGUGAGAGCGAGAGUACAUGCGUGAGAGAGAAUCUUAAGUAGGCUCCACGCUGAUUGUGGAGCCUGAUCCUGGGAUCCUGACCUGAGCUGAAAUCAAGAGUUGGUCAGACACUCAACCAGACUGAGCCACCCAGGCGCCCCAGGAAUGUAUUUUUGGUAGGGGACAAAACACAAAGCUAAGAUCAGGCCCCAGGUUUCUGGUCUCCUUCCAGGCUUGGAUUACAGGGGAGCCAGAGCAAGGUACUUAACCUCUGUGUUUCCUCAACUGUAAAUUGGAAAUAAUUGGUACCUGCUCUAUUACUUGCUGUGGGAUGAAAAAGGCCUCUGCAAAAUCUCAAGCUGCACAAAUGGAAGCUCUCAUUAAAAUGCAAGCAGGGAAGGGGAAUUUUUAAUUAUCAAUGAGAACUAAAGAAUAACUGUAUUUAUGUGGAUUUCCACUCCCAAUUAAGAAUCCAGAGAUUAGAUUAACUGCUCAGCUAGACUGAGUAGUAUUGCCAAAGGGGCCUGUAGUGUUAUUGUCUCAAACCCAAACACAGUAAGUAACUUCCCAGACCUAUCCUAUGAAUCUUGCUAGAAGUUUCCUCAACUGCCCGGAGCCCCAGGGGUCCUCCCAGUUCUUUCUC